rnacentral:rRNA from 1 species
AUUGAACGCUGGCGGCAGGCCUAACACAUGCAAGUCGAGCGGAUGAAGGGAGCUUGCUCCUGGAUUCAGCGGCGGACGGGUGAGUAAUGCCUAGGAAUCUGCUUGGUAGUGGGGGAUAACGUCCGGAAACGGGCGCUAAUACCGCAUACGUCCUGAGGGAGAAAGUGGGGGAUCUUCGGACCUCACGCUAUCAGAUGAGCCUAGGUCGGAUUAGCUAGUUGGUGGGGUAAAGGCCUAACAAGGCGACGAUCCGUAACUGGUCUGAGAGGAUGAUCAGUCACACUGGAACUGAGACACGGUCCAGACUCCUACGGGAGGCAGCAGUGGGGAAUAUUGGACAAUGGGCGAAAGCCUGAUCCAGCCAUGCCGCGUGUGUGAAGAAGGUCUUCGGAUUGUAAAGCACUUUAAGUUGGGAGGAAGGGCAGUAAGUUAAUACCUUGCUGUUUUGACGUUACCAACAGAAUAAGCACCGGCUAACUUCGUG